GGAAGCAGUGCUUCCUGCCCGGAUGAUCCUCAGUGGUCUGGGGUGCAGGCUUCAAACCUGUAGCUGUUUAGCGACAGAGUGGUUCAAUUCCACCUUUCGGGCGGGAGUAUCUAUCCCAUUUUGCGACCCGUACUCUGCGAUGAACGUUUUCAAAUCGACCCGCACUCUUCGUAGCUGCCUUUUGUCCCCCGGGAAGGAUCAAACGCGUUUCUAAAGCAUUUGCUCGGCCUCGUGUCUAAUCCGCAUGUAGCUGUCAGUCUGUCCAUUUGCUCCUGUGGCUCAGCCCCGUCUCCGUGUCUGAGCAGCGACGGAUGGGGACGCAGCUGUGCUCCACCCUCGGCCCUGGUCCCGGGAGGCCGGGGAGAGCACAGCACCGGGCAACCACGUUCUUAAAGAGGUCGAAGCGCCUGGAGCCUCGCCGCCUGGCGACCUGACCAGGGUGACCUUGAGACACACUUGAUGAUGACAUUGACGCUCGAGCGAACGCCUGGUCUUUUUCAAGGUCAGCAGAGCUCCCCGACCACCCGACCGGCCGUGCAACCCCUCCUCCAGUGGUUUGUCCUUCCCAGGCGUGCUAUCAACGAAGCGGCAAGUGUUCUGCCCUCCGUGUGCUUAGGAUCCGUUCUUUCCCAUUCUGGGUCCUCCCCAGCCUCCCCUAGCUACUCUCAGUCCGGGAGUAGAGAAGACCGCCUAACAGUAACUGUCCCCUGCUUCCCUUCCCAAACCCUGCUGUGGACAUCGCGUUCUGAGUGUGGGCAUUCCUUCCCAGCCAUGAAGUCUCCCAAAUAUGUCAGUUUAUCCCAACCUGUCCCCCGCCCCGUAGGUGACACAGCCUGGAACAGGGCGAGCCCUCCCCAGUGUCCGCUUCCCUUUCACCCAGCUGCAGGCUGAUUAGUUAGGUGCCCCAGUAAGUGCCCGUGAAGGCUUCCCAGCAACACAAAUUCAUUCUGUCUCGUUGAAAGCCAUGUAAUAGGUGCCCAGGGCAAAUACACACUUUGAACUGA